UAGAUAUUAGAAAGAAUACCAAUUGCGAAGGCAGCUUUCUGGAUCAUUACUGACACUGAGGAACGAAAGCAUGGGUAGCGAAGAGGAUUAGAUACCCUCGUAGUCCAUGCCGUAAACGAUGUGUGUUAGACGUUGGAAAUUUAUUUUCAGUGUCGCAGCGAAAGCGAUAAACACACCGCCUGGGGAGUACGACCGCAAGGUUAAAACUCAAAUGAAUUGACGGGGACCCGCACAAGUAGUGGAGCAUGUGGUUUAAUUCGAAGAUACGCGCAGAACCUUACCAACACUUGACAUGUUCGUCGCGACUCUAAGAGAUUAGAGUUUUCGGUUCGGCCGGACGAAACACAGGUGCUGCAUGGCUGUCGUCAGCUCGUGUCGUGAGAUGUUGGGUUAAGUCCCGCAACGAGCGCAACCCUCACUUUUAGUUGCCAUCAUUAAGUUGGGCACUCUGAAAGAACUGCCAGUGAUAAGCUGGAGGAAGGUGGGGAUGACGUCAAGUCCUCAUGGCCCUUACGUGUUGGGCUACACACGUGCUACAAUGGCAUCUACAACAGGAAGCAAAACGGCAACGUUAAGCAAAUCCCGAAAAGAUGCCUCAGUUCGGAUUGCACUCUGCAACUCGAGUGCAUGAAGCUGGAAUUACUAGUAAUCGUGGAUCAGCGUGCCACGGUGAAUGCGUUCCCGGGUCUUGUACACACCGCCCGUCACACCAUGGGAGUUGGUUCUACCUUAAGGCAAGGUUUCAAACCCUUGACCAUGGUAUAGUCAGCGACUGGGGUGAAGUCGUAACAAGGUAGCCGUA
rnacentral:rRNA from 1 species